AUUGAACGCUGGCGGCAGGCUUAACACAUGCAAGUCGAGCGAGCGGCGGACGGGUGAGUAAUGUCUGGGAAACUGCCUGAUGGAGGGGGAUAACUACUGGAAACGGUAGAUCAUAAAGCAUACCAUCAGAUGUGCCAAGAUGGGAUUAGCUAGUAGGUGGUGUAAUGGCUCACCUAGGCGACGGUCCAUAGCUGGUCUGAGAGGAUGACCAGCCACACUGGAACUGAGACACGUUCCAGCCUCCUACGGGAGGCAGCAGUUGGGAAUAUUGCACAAUGGGCGCAAGCCUGAUGCAGCCAUGCCGCGUGUGUGAAGAAGGCCUUCGGGUUGUAAAGCACUUUCAGCGAGGAGGCGUUACUCGCAGAAGAAGCACCGGCUAACUCCGUGCCAGCAGCCGCGGUAAUUC
rnacentral:rRNA from 1 species